rnacentral:rRNA from 1 species
AGAGUGAACGCUGGCGGUAGGCCUAACACAUGCAAGUCGAACGGCAGCACGGUAAGAGCUUGCUCUUACGGGUGGCGAGUGGCGGACGGGUGAGGAAUACAUCGGAAUCUACCUUUUGGUGGGGGAUAACGUAGGGAAACUUACGCUAAUACCGCAUACGCCCUUCGGGGGAAAGCCGGGGACCAGCAAUGGCCUGGUGCUGAUAGAUGAGCCGAUGUCGGAUUAGCUAGUUGGUGAGGUAAUGGCUCACCAAGGCGACGAUCCGUAGCUGGUCUGAGAGGAUGAUCAGCCACACUGGAACUGAGACACGGUCCAGACUCCUACGGGAGCAGCAGUGGGAAUAUUGGACAAUGGGCGCAAGCCUGAUCCAGCCAUACCGCGUGGGUGAAGAAGGCCUUCGGUUGUAAAGUCCCUUUGUUAGGAAAGAAAGUCAUUACGGUUAAUACCGGUGUUCGUGACGGUACCAAAG